rnacentral:rRNA from 1 species
UACGAAGGGGGCUAGCGUUGUUCGGAAUCACUGGGCGUAAAGGGCGCGUAGGCGGCGCGACAAGUCAGGCGUGAAAGCCCCGGGCUCAACCCGGGAAUUGCGCUUGAUACUGUCGUGCUUGAGGCCGGGAGAGGAUGGCGGAAUUCCCAGUGUAGAGGUGAAAUUCGUAGAUAUUGGGAAGAACACCGAUGGCGAAGGCAGCCAUCUGGACCGGCACUGACGCUGAGGCGCGAAAGCGUGGGGAGCAAACAGG